GUAGGAGACGAGCGUUAUCCGGAUUUACUGGGCGUAAAGCGUGUGCAGGCGGUUCGGCAAGUUGGAUGUGAAAUCUCUCGGCUCAACUGGGAGAGGUCGUUCAAAACUACCGAACUUGAGGUCAUCAGAGGAAAAUGGAAUUCCCGGUGUAGUGGUGAAAUGCGUAGAUAUCGGGAGGAGCACCAGUGGCGAAAGCGGUUUUCUGGGAUGAUCCUGACGCUCAGACACGAAAGCUAGGGGAGCAAACGGGAUUAGAGACCCCGGUAGUCCUAGCUGUAAACGGAUGUAGACUUGGCGUCGGAGGGUUCAAAACCUUCGGUGUCGUAGCUAACGCGAUAAGUCUACCGCCUGGGGACUACGGCCGCAAGGUUA
rnacentral:rRNA from 1 species